GACGAACGCUGGCGGCAGGCUUAACACAUGCAAGUCGAGCGCCGUAGCAAUACGGAGCGGCAGACGGGUGAGUAACGCGUAGGAACGUGCCCCGAGGUGGGGGACAACCCCGGGAAACUGGGGCUAAUACCGCACGUCUCCUUCGGGAGAAAGCCGCACGAGCGGCGCCUCGGGAGCGGCCUGCGUCCGAUUAGGUAGUUGGCGGGGUAACGGCCCACCAAGCCCGCGAUCGGUAGCUGGUCUGAGAGGACGAGUCAGCCACACUGGGACUGAGACACGGCCCAGACUCCUACGGGAGGCAGCAGUGGGGAAUAUUGGGCAAUGGGCGCAAGCCUGACCCAGCAAUGCCGCGUGGGUGAAGAAGGUCCUCGGAUUGUAAAGCCCUUUCGGCGGGGACGAUGAUGACGGUACCCGCAGAAGAAGCCCCGGCUAACUUCGUGCCAGCCGCCGCCGUAACAC
rnacentral:rRNA from 1 species